UACAGAGGAGCCAAGCGUUGUCCGGAUUGACUGGGCGUAAAGCGCACGCAGGCGGUGGGGCGCGUGGGGUGUGAAAUCUGGCCGCUUAACGGCCAGGCGCCAUCCCAUACGGCACGACUGGAGGGCUGCAGAGGUCGAUGGAAUUGCCGGUGUAGUGGUGAAAUGCGUAGAGAUUGGGAAGAACACCAGUGGCGAAGGCGGCUAUCUGGACGGUUUCUGACGCUAAGACGCGAAAGCGUGGGGAGCAAACAGG
rnacentral:rRNA from 1 species